rnacentral:rRNA from 1 species
CCAGACUCCUACGGGAGGCAGCAGUGAGGAAUAUUGGUCAAUGGGCGGGAGCCUGAACCAGCCAAGUCGCGUGAGGGAAGACGGUCCUACGGAUUGUAAACCUCUUUUGCCGGGGAGCAACGGGGUCCUUGCGAGGGCCCGAUGAGAGUACCCGGAGAAAAAAGCAUCGGCUAACUCCGUGCCAGCAGCCGCGGUAAUACGGAGGAUGCGAGCGUUAUCCGGAUUUAUUGGGUUUAAAGGGUGCGUAGGCGGGCUUUUAAGUCAGCGGUAAAAAUUCGGGGCUCAACCCCGUCCGGCCGUUGAAACUGGGGGCCUUGAGUGGGCGAGAAGAAGGCGGAAUGCGUGGUGUAGCGGUGAAAUGCAUAGAUAUCACGAAGAACCCCGAUUGCGAAGGCAGCCUGCCGCAGCGUUACUGACGCUGAAGCUCGAAAGCGCGGGUAUCGAACAGGAUUAGAUACCCUCGUAC